ensembl:lncRNA novel transcript
UCCCACUGACGACGGAGAAAACUUGGUCCUUUGGCUCCGCGCUGCGCGUGACCUGCAGUCACCUGAGCAAGAGGGCGGCGUGGGUCGCUGCGGGAGCCCCUACAGCCCCAGCCCGCAGCCCACGUGGCACCCUACAGGGCUGUGAGAGUGGGGCUGCUGGAGGCGUUCAGAGCGCGGAGGCCCCAGGCGCGGGCCGGGCUCUCUCCCGCCUCCUCAGGCCCGGGGGUGCUGGAGCUGCCGAGCUCUGGCUUUCUGGAUCUGUGCUUCUCUGGUAGAGGAACCCUGAGGACUGAUCUACUCUUGCAGUUCUAAAACCAUGGCCCAUGCCUCGCUAUUCCCUGGGACACAACAAUAUUGAACGUAGGCUAGUUAAUAGCCCUACAAUCUCCUCUAAGUGUUCGAGUGAAAGGAAGAGUCACAUGUGUCUCACUUUAAACCAAAAGCUAGAAAUGAUUAAACUUAGUGAGGAAAGCAUGUUGAAAGUCCAGACAGGCUGGAAGCGAGGUCUCCUGUGCCAAACAGCAGGCCAAGUUGCACAUGCAAAGGAAAUGUUCUCGAAGCAAAUUAAAAGUAUUACUCCAGUGAACACACAAUGACAAGAAAGCGAAACAGUUUUAUUGCUGAUGUGGAGAAAGUUUUAGUGGUCUGGAUAGAAGAUCAAACCAGCCACAACGUUCUGUUAAGCCUAAACCUAAUCCAGAGCAAGGCCCUAAUGCUCUUCAAUUCUAUGGAGGCUGAGAGUUGAGGAAGCUGUGGAAGAAAAGUUUGAAGCUAGCAGAGAAUAAUUCAUGAGGUUGAAAGAAAGAAGCUGUCUCCAGAACAUAAAAGUGCAAGGUGAAGCAGCAAGUGCUGAUGGAGAACCUCCAGCAUGUGAUCCAGAAGACCUAGCUGAAAUAACUGAUGAGGGUGACUGCAUUAAAUAACAAAUUUUCAUUGUAGACAAAACAGCCUUCUAUUCAAAGAAGAUGCCAUCUAGGACUUUCAUGGCUAGAGAGGAGUCAAUGGCCGGCUUCAAAGCUUCAAAGGAAAUGCCAUGUCUCCUGUUAGGGGCUAAUGCACCUAGUAACUUUAAGUCAAAGCUCAUGUGUAUUUACCGUAAUGAAAGUCCUAGGAUCCUAAAGAAGGGUGCUAAAUCUACUCUGCUUGUGCUCUAUAAGUAGAAGAACAAAGCCUAGAUGACAGCACAUCUCUUUAUAGCAUAGUUCACUGAAGAUUUUAAGCCCAAUAUUGAGACCCACUGCCAAGAAAGAUAGAUCAUUUUCAAAAUAUUACUGCUCACUGACAAUGUGCCUCAUCACCCAAGAGAUGUGAUGGAGAUGUAUAAGGAGAUUAAUGUGGUUUUCAUGCCUAUUAACACAACAUCCAUUCUUCAGCCAAUGAAUCAAGGAUUAAUUUUGACUUUCAAGUCUUAUUUAAGAAACACAUUUUGUAUGGCAAUAGCUGCCAUAGAUAGCAGUUCUUCUCAUGGAUCUAGGGAAAGUAAACUGAAAACCUUGUGGAAAAGAUUCAGCAUUCUAGAUGCAAUUAAGAAUACCUGUGAUUCAUGGGAAGAAGUCAGGUAUCAACAUGAACAGAAGUUUGGAAGAAGUUAAUUCCAACCCUCACGGAUGACUUUCAGAGGUUCAAGACUUCAGUGGAGGAAGUAACUGCUGCAGUUACUUGUGGUGGAAAUAACAAGAGAAAUAGAAUUAGAAGUGGAGCUUGAUGAUGUGACUGAAUUGCUGCAACCUCAUGAUCAAACUUGAAUGGAUUAAGAAUCUACUCCUGGUGAAGAUGCUUUGAACAUUGCUGAAAGGACAAGGAUAUUAAAAUAUUACAUUAAUUUAGUUGAUACAGCAGUGGCAGGGUUUGAGAAGAUUGACUCUAGUUUUGAAAGAAGUUCUAUUUGAGUAAAAUGCUAUCAAACAGCACCACAUGCUACAGAGACAUCUUUCAUGAAAGGGAGAGUGAACUGAUGCAGCAAACUUCUUUGUCUUAUUUUAAUAAAAUGUUAUACCCACCUCAACCUUUAGCACCCACCAGUCAGCAGCUAUCAAUAUCAAGGCAAGACCAUUCACCAACAACAAAAAAAAUGACAACUCGCUGAAGGCUCAGAUGAUCAUUAGCAAUUUUCAGCAAUAAAGUGUUUUUAAUUA